CUCAAAGUACUACCUGUAAAAAAUAUAUUUCAAAAUAACUGCUAUUUAUAUGAAAACUCAUAAUUUACUGCGGCCCAUAUCACAUGGUAUCAACACUAGAUAUGCUAAAAACAAUGUUCUAAUAAAAGAAUUUAAAAAAAAAUACUAACAUAUUUCGCACGAUGGGUGCAGCCACUGUUGUCUGUGAGAAGUUGGGAAUAUAGUAUAUUAGGGGAAAUUAAUUUGUAUCUGGAAGCAACAAUAAACCAUUGUCAACAGAAAAUCCCUAGGAUUUUUAAGAUUACAAUAGGUAUCUAUAACUAUUAGACUAC